UAAUACGAAGGGUGCUAGCGUUGUUCGGAAUCACUGGGCGUAAAGCGCGCGUAGGCGGUUAUUCAAGUCAGGGGUGAAAUCCUGAGGCUCAACCUCAGAAUUGCCUUUGAAACUGUAUAACUGGAGUGUCGGAGGGGAUAGCGGAAUUGCUAAUGUAGCAGUGAAAUGCGUAGAUAUUAGCAGGAACACCGGUGGCGAAGGCGGCUAUCUGGACGACAACUGACGCUGAGGCGCGAAAGCGUGGGGAUCAAACAGG
rnacentral:rRNA from 1 species